UUCUCCUGAUCGCUGAGUUCUUCUAUAAGAAGCGGGGGAACCAAAUUUUUGGGGUGAAUCGGUUCAGUAGUCAGUAGUCCGUAGUCAGAAAAAGAAGGGAAUCGCUGAAGGCGAUUCCCAACCAGUAUCCGACAACCGACGACCGAUUACUGAAUUCGUAGGGUUACUUUCGACCCGAAUCCGUCAGCUAACUUCGCAAGCGUUGAAAGGGAGGAUAG
rnacentral:sRNA from 2 species